rnacentral:rRNA from 1 species
AUGACGGAGGCAGCCACAUUUCAGAUGCCUUGUGCCCUAAGACGGUUGUUUGCGACUAUACUGGUAUUUUGUGAGGCAACAGAAAUCCGACAAAUGUGGGACAAGAAUCUAGCAUCAAUGUCUGAGGAUUACCGUCGUAACCAAUCCAAUGAGGCAACACUUGAACAGAUGGUGCUUAGAGAUAUCAGGGAUAUGUUGCAAUCCAUGGGAAAGGAUAUUACAACCUAUGGACUUCCAGAUCUGGUUGAGACCGAUGGUUCUUAUGAUGGUGAGCACAGAGAGGUAACAGAGGAGAGGCAAGUCACCGUGGACAAAGAACAUCUAGAUCUAUUUAGCAGUUUGAACAGUGAGCAGCUGGCUGGUUUCAAUGACAUAAUGGAUCAUGUGAUGAACCAAAAAAGUCAGGUGUUCUUUGUUGAUGGUCCAGGAGGCACUGGGAAGACGUACUUGUACAAGACAUUGCUUGCAAAGAUGCGUUCCAUGGGCCAAAUAGCAAUUGCAACUGCUACAUCAGGUAUAGCGGCGUCGAUAAUGCCUGGAGGACGGACUGCACACUCUAGGUUCAAAAUUCCAAUAAAGCUCACUGACAACAGCAUGUGUAGUUUCACAAAGCAAAGCGGUACAGCGGAGUUGCUUAAACAGGCGUCCUUAAUAAUUUGGGACGAAGUCGCUAUGACAAAACGUCAAGCUGUUGAGACGCUUGAUAGAUCGUUGCAGGAUAUAAUGGAAUGUCCUUUGCCGUUUGGGGGAAAGGUUGUCGUCUUUGGUGGGGAUUUCAGGCAGGUCCUUCCCGUUGUGGCACGUGGGACAAGAGCGCAGAUCACAGAUGCUACACUUCUGAGAUCAUAUUUGUGGGAGAAGACCCGCAAGAUAUGUCUCACGCACAAUAUGCGUGCACAGGCUAAUCCUUGGUUCUCCAAAUACCUCCUAAGGAUCGGCAAUGGAACAGAAGAGACAAUUGGCGACGACUAUGUGCGUCUCCCUGACAACAUUGUGAUCCGCUAUACUGAGGAUGAAAAAGCUAUUAACACGCUCAUUGAAGAUGUCUUCCCAUCGCUGCAUGCCAAUGCUAGAUCGAGAGAGUACAUGAGCGCACGUGCAAUUCUUUCGACCAAGAAUGAUCAUGUGGAUGACCUGAAUGAUAAGAUGAUCUCCAGGUUUCCAGGCGAAGAAAAGUUAUAUCAUAGCUUCGACUCAAUCGAGGAUGACUUGCAAAAUAAUUACACAAUUGAUUUUUUGAACUCGAUCACACCAAAUGGCUUGCCACCGCAUGUUUUGAGAUUAAAGGUCAACUGCCCAGUCAUUCUGCUUCGGAACCUCGACCCUCAUAAUGGCCUAUGCAAUGGAACACGACUUAUAAUCAGAGCCUUCCAGGAUAAUGCAAUCGACGCGGAGAUUGUUGGAGGUCAGCAUGCUGGAAAGAGGGUGUUUAUACUUAGGAUCCCUAUGUCGCCCUUGGAGGACAUCUCACUUCCCUUCAAACUUAAGAGAAAACAGUUCCCCAUCCGCCUAAGUUUUGCGAUGACAAUUAAUAAGGCACAGGGUCAGACCAUCCCAAACGUUGGUAUUUACCUUCCUGAGCCUGUAUUCUCACAUGGUCAGCUAUAUGUUGCAUUGUCAAGGGGAGUGUCAAGAGAGACGACAUGGAUUUUGGCCAAGCCAAACAAGGAGGUUGAUAAAUCCGGGAAAAGCACCAAGAACAUUGUCUACAAAGAUGUUUUAGAGAGAUGA